rnacentral:rRNA from 1 species
AUUGAACGCUGGCGGCAGGCCUAACACAUGCAAGUCGAGCGAACCUAGCUUGCUAGGUGAGCGGCGAACGGGUGAGUAACACGUAGGAAUCUGCCCGGUAUUGGGGGACAACGAUUCGAAAGGGACGCUAGUACCGCAUUCGCCCCACGGGGGAAAGCAGGGGAGCUUCGAACCAUGCGCCAGCGGAUGAGCCUGCGUCGGUUUAGCUAGUUGGGGGGGGAAAGGACCACCAAGGGGACGAACCGUAGCUGGGCUGAGAGGAUGACCAGCCACACCGGAACUGAGACACGGUGCGGACUCCUACGGGAGGAAGCAGUGGGGAAUAUUGGACAAUGGGGGCAACCCUGAUCCAGCCAUGCCGCGUGUGUGAAGAAGGCCUUCGGGUUGUAAAGCACUUUAAGAGGGGAGGAAGGUUCGUUGGCUAAUACCCAGCGGAAUUGACGUUACCCUCAGAAUAAGCACCGGCUAACUCCGUGCCAGCAGCCGCCGUAAGAC